rnacentral:sRNA from 1 species
AAUUAAAGUGCGUCAUUAGUAUAUUAACGAAAAUACUUUUUUUGUUUAAGACGAAGGUGUAUUGAGAAAAAACGGAAGAGAUGCGAAUAAUUGCAAUUGCAAGUUGCAACAACUUAAGAGAUCAUUAGAUCAAGUACGUCCAAUGUGCCCCGAAGAUUUGGUGAGAAAAAGCUUUCAUAAUAUUUUAGGGAAUUGGACAUGUUUAGGCACUUUUACAAACUUUUAUUCCUUUUGAAACACUUCUCACCUACAAGGCACUUUUCCUUGUUUUUGAAAAAUAAAUGGACAAUUAUAUCCCCACCCAUCUAAACCAAAAAUUUACUUAACCGGUUAAAAAGGUUUUGUUUUGAUUUGGUUCCCUUCUAAUAAAUCGACAGUUGAUAUUUACAGAUGAGAAAAGGAAGUUACCUUCGCCGACUGAAAUUAUCUCACAAUAUCAAUGUCGAUGGUUGUUAAUUCUUCCGACCAAGCAAUUACUAUGGAAAGUCUCGGAAUCUCCAGGUCACUGUUUCUUGAAUUGGUUAAUAUUACUGUGCAACGAUCUCUCUCCCUUCAAACAAAACCUCUGGAACAAUUUAAAUUGAGUUGCCUCCGGCUUAACCAAGGCAUUGUGACGAUGUUUUUUGCAGCGAAUUAACCGCCACUGUGAUUGGAGAGAUGACGUAGAAGUCGAUUAGGAAUCUCCCCCUGAUUCGGGUUAUCGUUUGGAUCUGACUCUGUUUCUGCAUCGUCUCCUCCGGAAGAAGUUUUAAAAAGGAAACGACCUACAAGGCUUGAUAUACCGAUUGGUGUUGAUGGAUUUGUAACUCCGAUUUUUUCAUCGGCUGAUGUAACUGUGACGUCGAGGGAGGAAUGUAGAGAGGUUGAAAGAGAAGAUAAUGAUUAUUCUGUUUAUUGUAAGAGAGGAAGAAGAGAAGCUAGAGAGGUUGUGUCAAGUUGGGCUCCAGUGAUAAUGUUAGAUGAGCAAACAAAAAAGUGCUAAUUUUAUCGAUCUAUAAACACAUUCGCAGCAAAUCAAAGACAUACUUGUCCAUUAAUGAUUGUCCAAGUAGUCCAGUCCAUAUGGUCAUCAAAUGACUCACAUGGUAGUUUCAUACUAAUACAUAAGUUUAUACAUAAACAAUAAACGUCAAUCCAAAGUACAUUAUCCAUGUCUAUUUGACCAUUUAUCCACAUGUGUAUAGACAUGUUGAGACAAUUUUAUCGAGUUAUAAACACAUUCACAGCAAAUCAAAGACAGACUUGUCCAUUAAUGAUUGUCCAAGCAGUCCAGUACAUAUGGUCAUCUAAUAAGUCAUAUGGUAGUUUCAUACUAAUACAUAAGUUUAUACAUGAACAAUAAACAUCAAUCCAAAGUACAUUAUCCAUGUUUCUUUGACCAUUUAUCCACAUGUAUAUAGACAUGUUGAUACAAUUUUAUCGAGAUAUAAACACAUUCGCAGCAAAUCAAAGACAUACUUAUCCAUUAAUGAUUGUCCAAGCAGUCCAGUCCAUGAUCAUCUAAAGACUCACAUGAUAGUUUCAUACUAAUACAUAAGUUUAUACAUGAACAAUAAACGUCAAUCCAAAGUAUAUUAUCCAUGUUUCUUUGACCAUUUAUCCACAUGUGUAUAGACAGUCAGUUAUGUAGACCUCAGUCAGUUAAGGAACUUCUCCAAAUCUGCCAACAUCUCUACAUAUUUUAAUGUAGACGUAAUAGGUUGGUUUGAGGAUAUGAGGACACCGUCAACAAUGAGGAGAUAAGCAAGCCGAAGUCUAUGGUAAGAAGAUAAGGUCUUGUGAUUAACAUUUUUGAAAUAUCACCUAACGUAGCAUUUAUGUCUUCACCUAUUAGCUCUUCACAAUGUUGGAUAUUAUAAAUAAAAUUAGCACACGAUUGAAUAAUUGGAGCAAAUAAAAUGAUUGGAGAAGAUUAAUACCUUACAUUUGAGGACCGAGUAGAAGUUACUAGCACACGCCGGAGACGACGAAUCGAUUGAGAGACAAGAAAAUGAAGACGAUGACGGGAGAACAACUGUUGACGACGACGACGGGAGAGGACGAAUUAAUGUCAGCCGAUUGAAAGCUUUGUUGACGAUAACGACGGGAGAGGGACGAGGAAAUGACUUUGCCGGUAGAAAACUCGUCGGGAUGAUCGCCGGAGUCGAGAUGAUGUUAUCGGCGUUGUGAUGAUUUUAACUGCCCAGAUAAAUGAAACUGUAAAAUCGUCGUGAAGAAUUGGGUGAGAAAGAGAAGUUUCUCACAAAUUGGUUUUAGUUUAGAGAUUGAGAUUAAAAAAUUAAACCGAAAACCGGCUAAAUUUGUUAGGUUUUGUUAAACAAACGAUUUCAGGGUAAAAGGGUAAUUCUACUGAGUUAAAGUGACUAAUGCUUUUAAAGUGCCUAUUUGUGGCCAAAGUUUCGAAAUAGUGUCUUUACGUGUAAUAUUCUCAAUAUUUUAUUAUUUCUUAUAAGAACUAAAGAUCGAACAAUUAUUUUGACUCCAAAAAAAUUCUUCUCUCGUAAAGUACUUGUUUUUCAUCGUCAGUUUGAAGAUUAGAUUAAUUACAUCAUAAGAGUUUCUGAUAUAAUUACGAGAUAAAAUCUCAAUUCUCAAAAGUGACCAGACAUAUUUAGUUUGGUCGUUGUGUCUUGUGUGGAACUGGCCAUAGUACCAAAAAUAAUGACAAAUAACUUAAUCAUGUCUAUAAAUCCAUAUUUUGGUGUUAAUCUAGAUUCUGUCCGGACAAAUUCUGCUGUUAUGCAAGUCUCUGUUGAAUCGUCAAAGUUUAUUCUUCAACCCCAACACGCAAAGAGCAGGAUUGAUGUCCAGAGAAUUGAAUAAAUAAGAUUUCAGACAUGGUGUUAUAAGUUAAAAGGAUAUCAAUUGAAACCUAUAAAAAACUCCUAGCAUAAGUUGAAUGCACCAAAAUCAAGAUGGCAAACCCUAUUUUUUUCUCUACCAAAUUGACUACUACCUUGAAGCUUUGAUAUGACUCUCACAAUUGGUAUCAGAGCUUCUAUUUAGAAGCUUUGAUACCAAUUGUUAGGUUUAGGUUCAAAUCAAAGCUUCAAGGUACAAGUCAAUAAACAAAAUGAUUUCUUCUUUUUAUUUUCUAAAGAAGAGAAACUUUAGCAAAGACAAUAUGAAGAAGAAUUGAGGAAGAAAGAGAACUGCAGGUAACCCUAAACUAAUUUUAUUGAUCUUCAUAACAUGUCUAUAUAUAUGAGUCUACAUCUUAGAAUAAACCUAAUUACUUGGAAAGGAAACAUGGAUUAAUGGGCUUGUAUUGACUUGUCAUGUGUCACAUAGUUGGGUUUCAACACUUUACAUACACAACACACAUGCAAAGCGGAUCCACAAAAGAUUAUACAUAAAACGGAACUCAAAGAUAUUUGGAAAAAAUCUAGUCCUACUUGACAAGGACCGAUUCUU